rnacentral:rRNA from 1 species
GACGAACGCUGGCGGCGUGCCUAAUACAUGCAAGUCGAGCGGAAGUUGGAGAGCUUGCUCUUCAACUUUAGCGGCGGACGGGUGAGUAACACGUGGGCAACCUGCCCUGCGGAUCGGGGUAACUCCGGGAGACCGGUGCUAAUACCGAAUAGUUUUCGCCACCUCCUGGUGGCGUACGGAAAGACGGUUUCGGCUGUCACUGCAGGAUGGGCCCGCAGCGCAUUAGCUAGUUGGUGGGGUAACGGCCCACCAAGGCAACGAUGCGUAGCCGACCUGAGAGGGUGAUCGGCCACACUGGGACUGAGACACGGCCCAGACUCCUACGGGAGGCAGCAGUAGGGAAUCUUCCGCAAUGGACGAAAGUCUGACGGAGCAACGCCGCGUGAGUGACGAAGGUUUUCGGAUCGUAAAACUCUGUUGUGAGGGAAGAACAAGUACCAACUAACUACUGGUACCUUGACGGUACCUCACCAGAAAGCCACGGCUAACUACGUGCCAGCCGCCGCCGUAACAC